UACGUAGGGUGCAAGCGUUGUCCGGAAUUAUUGGGCGUAAAGAGCUCGUAGGCGGUUUGUUGCGUCGGCUGUGAAAUCCCGAGGCUCAACCCCGGGCCUGCAGCCGAUACGGGCAGACUAGAAUUCGGCAGGGGAGACUGGAAUUCCUGGUGUAGCGGUGAAAUGCGCAGAUAUCAGGAGGAACACCGGUGGCGAAGGCGGGUCUCUGGGCCGAUAUUGACGCUGAGGAGCGAAAGCGUGGGGAGCAAACAGG
rnacentral:rRNA from 1 species